rnacentral:rRNA from 1 species
UCCAGACUCCUACGGGAGGCAGCGGUGGGGGAUAUUGCACAAUGGGGGGAACCCUGAUGCAGCGACGCCGCGUGGGUGAAGGAGCGUUUCGGCGCGUAAAGCCCUAUCGGCAGGGAAGAAGGAGGACGGUACCUGACUAAGAAGCCCCGGCUAACUACGUGCCAGCAGCCGCGGUAAUACGUAGGGGGCAAGCGUUAUCCGGAUUUACUGGGUGUAAAGGGGGCGCAGACGGCAGCGCAAGCCAGGAGUGAAAGCCCGGGGCCCAACCCCGGGACUGCUCUUGGAACUGCGCGGCUGGAGUGCAGGAGGGGCAGGCGGAAUUCCUGGUGUAGCGGUGAAAUGCGUAGAUAUCAGGAGGAACACCGGUGGCGAAGGCGGCCUGCUGGACCGCGACUGACGUUGAGGCUCGAAAGCGUGGGGAGCGAACAGGAUUAGAUACCCCUGUAUAU